AGGAGGAACAGCCCCAGUGGCGGGGCAGCUCUGGACACCUGGAUUCAGCUCCGGCAGGAACUCCGUCUGCAGGGCCUGGAGGCUCCGGGCGGGG
rnacentral:pre_miRNA from 1 species